rnacentral:pre_miRNA from 1 species
GGUCACUUUUUGCGGGUGGAGCAUCAUCAYGAUUCACAAUCUUACUUGGUUCUAGUUUAACCCCAUUUGAUGAUAUGAGAAUCUUGAUGAUGCUGCAGCAGCAAUAAUGACU